rnacentral:rRNA from 1 species
AUUGAACGCUGGCGGCAGGCCUAACACAUGCAAGUCGAGCGGAUGAAGGGAGCUUGCUCCUGGAUUCAGCGGCGGACGGGUGAGUAAUGCCUAGGAAUCUGCCUGGUAGUGGGGGAUAACGUCCGGAAACGGGCGCUAAUACCGCAUACGUCCUGAGGGAGAAAGUGGGGGAUCUUCGGACCUCACGCUAUCAGAUGAGCCUAGGUGGGAUUAGCUAGUUGGUGGGGUAAAGGCCUACCAAGGCGACGAUCCGUAACUGGUCUGCGAGGAUGAUCAGUCACACUGGAACUGAGACACGGUCCAGACUCCUACGGGAGGCAGCAGUGGGGAAUAUUGGGCAAUGGGCGAAAGCCUGACCCAGCCAUGCCGCGUGUGUGAAGAAGGUCUUCGGAUCGUAAAGCACUUUUAGUUGGGAGGAAGGGCAGUAGGUUAAGACGUUGCUGUUUUGACGUUACCAACAGAAUAAGCACCGGCUAACUUCGUG